rnacentral:tRNA from 1 species
UUUCAGCUUGCUCAGUGGAAGAGCCUCUGCGUUGUGUGCAGAAGGUCCCAGGUUCAUUGCCUGGCAUUUCGAGUUAAAAA